UUACCAACUGAACUAAAUUUAGAAAGUUAUAAUGACUUCCCUUCCAAAUAUGCAAGAUUUUCUCCAACUUCUCAAGGAAUCUUGGUUAUGGCAUUAUAUAAUUAGGUUUUUUUUUUCAGGCAUUUUAACGACCUCGUCUCUUCAAACAUAAUCAUUUCCUCUCCUUGGCUUUUCUCAUUUCAUUGCUCUUACGAUUUUAGGAGACGUAGAAUCUUCCUGCCAAGUGAAGGUUAAUGGCGACUAUGGCUCGGCUCCAUUAUCAACUUACAACCAGCAGGUUCCCUGACGCCAGUGAAAAUCGCCAUUUUCCCAAUCCAGCGAUUUCGAUUUUAUUUCGUCAUAAUCGCUCUCUCUGCCGUCUCCAUUCCAAUCUCGCCUCUUCAAGGCUUCAACUUUCCUGUAUCGGGGGAGAUGGGAAUAAUGGGGUUGGCGGUCGCGGCACCGGUGGCAAUGACGGAAACGAUGGAGGUUCAAAAGGGGAUGGUUACUCUGAUGAUUCUUCUUCUUCGUCGUUGUCUUCUUGGGGGCCGUUGGCUCUUUUCCUCAACGGAUGGAGAUCUAGGGUUGCAGCGGAUCCCCAAUUCCCAUUCAAAGUUCUCAUGGAGGAAUUGGUGGGUGUUAGUGCUUGCGUUCUCGGCGAUAUGGCUUCUCGUCCUAAUUUUGGUCUCAACGAGCUUGAUUUUGUAUUCUCCACUCUCGUUGUUGGUUCCAUAUUGAACUUUACUCUCAUGUACCUGUUAGCACCCACCAUAUCUGCAACUUCUCCAAGCUUGCCUGCGAUCUUCGCCAAUUGCCCCACCAGUCACAUGUUCGAACCGGGUUCUUACACCAUUCUCAACCGGCUGGGAACUUUUGUAUACAAAGGUACUGUGUUUGCGGCUGUUGGAUUUGCCGCUGGACUAGUAGGGACUGUCCUCUCCAAUGGCUUGAUAAAAAUGAGGAAGAAGAUGGACCACAAUUUUGAGACCCCAAACAAGCCACCUCCCACACUGCUGAAUGCUGUGACAUGGGCCAUUCACAUGGGCGUCAGCAGCAAUUUCAGGUACCAAACGUUGAACGGCGUUGAGUUCAUGUUGGCCAAUUGGCUGUCUCAGAUGGCAUUCAAGACGUCCGUGGUGGUUCUGAGAUGCUUGAACAACGUUCUUGGUGGCGCUUCUUUUGUGUUAUUGGCGAGGAUGACAGGAUCGCAGAGCGUCGAAGAGGACAAAUCGGUUAAAAUGGAGAAGCAGAAGUUGGUGGAUGAGGGAGAGGAUUUGCGGAGCAACUAGUGCACUUCCAUAUGAUUUUGUGUUGUUCGUAUAGCUUGGAUGUUGUCAGAUGAUGGAGAGAAUAGUGCUGCUUGAAUCAAGUGAUUUAAGGAGGGUUUCUUAGUGCCUACCUUUAUCCAGAUACAAGCAAUUAUAGCUGCUUGUUAUAUUGGAAAUGGACUCAGAGAAAAGUGUUUCUUAUUGUCCCUUGUUCUGGACUCGAUCAGUAAUCUUGAGAUAUUCUUAGUUCAGUACUUUCAAUUGCUGAACCAACCUCUCAACUCUCGAGUGGGCAAGGAAUUUUGCUUUUAAUACUGCACUUGGUGUUGAUGCCAUGCCCAGGCA